rnacentral:lncRNA from 1 species
AUGGAGGGGAAGGUGCAUCUCCACUGCAUCGCGGCAAGUCUUCCAGACCUGUCUGCAGCUCUUCCUGUAACCAAGAGGCCUUUUCCUGUGUUUAAACUCACCACCAAUGGCUAUCCUACCAAAGGAUCUCAAGGUGCUUGGAGAGAGCCUGUCAGUAGAAGAAUAGACCUAUACGACCACUCUGGAGGAAGAUUGUGAAAAAAUGAGCCCUACUGAACAAUGGAAGUACUCAUCUGAGAAAAAGAGAACGAAGUAUUGUUCCUGUUCUCUUUCUUAAGUCAUUCGAAACACUGUCCCUGCGAGUUCUUUAAGUUCCCUGCAAUCUGUACACAAGAAGGGAGAAAGAGAGGGAGAAAGACAGAGAGACAAGGGAUCAGGUAAACCUCGGGGGCGGCUGCAGCCACUCAGACUCAGGAGCUGGUAAGUUACCCACGCAAUCCUUUCUACUUCCAUUUCAGUGUCCUUGCGAUGGAUGUUGCUGUGGGCAUCUUCCACAGAAAAUGCCUUACUGGGUGUAAUCCUUAAUCAAAGGGUGUGACUGAAGGAUGGCCCAGAAUUGAAGCUUGUAUGUCCUUUUUUUUUUUGUUGAGAGAGACUACUGAUGUUCUGCAGAGUUGAGCCUGGCAGAACUGGACAUAGAAUUGCUCUAGGCUAAGAAGGACAUUGUGUUAAAUCUGAAUUUGGGCACAGAUAAGCUGGUGGGUUAACCAAGAGCCACUGGAGUGCCGUGUCUCACUGAGAAUUUGCUCUUCCUCAGUGCUGUGUCCUGGGAGCCUUCUCAGGGUGUCUGUUAAGAACUGUGGUUUGCUCUGGGGAUUUUGUUACCCAUUGUCUUGAUGGAGGUGCCUGCUCCUGUUCUUUCCUUUUCAUUCAACAUCUCCCGCCUCAAAGAGGACUGUUAAUUUGUGACUGUUAUUCUGCCUCACUGAGGCAGGAGGAAGAAAAAGAAGAGAAUGUCACUUUGAUUUGUACUGUAAGGGGGGGGUGGGGUAUGCUUAUGUGUUCAGGCUCCACAUGUGGGUUGAGUGUAAAUUUAUUAUCCACUGUCAAUUGAAGAUGUCAUCUGCCACACAAAAGAGGGCAAAGAUUUAGGGGCAAGCAGCUGUAAUUUUGGAAAACAACAUACCAAUAGGAUAGGAAGGUUGAGAUCAAUCACUUGCGUCAGCAGGAGUGAAAAACCCAGCAAAACACUGAAGAAUGUUUAUCCAGUGCCUGGUUUUUUAAGCAUCAAAUAGAAUACAGCAAACCAGUCAAGACUAUACACGCAAUUAAUUUUUAAAAGUCUAUCUUGCUUCAUUUAGAUUCAUCAGGAUGUAU